rnacentral:rRNA from 1 species
UACGGGGGGGGCAAGCGUUGUUCGGAAUCACUGGGCGUAAAGGGCGUGUAGGCGGUCAAGUAAGUGGGGUGUGAAAUCCCUCGGCUCAACCGGGGAACUGCGUCUGAGACUGGAAGGCUUGAAUCCGGGAGAGGGAUGUGGAAUUCCAGGUGUAGCGGUGAAAUGCGUAGAUAUCUGGAGGAACACCGGUGGCGAAGGCGGCAUCCUGGACCGGUAUUGACGCUGAGGCGCGAAAGCCAGGGGAGCAAACGGG